rnacentral:rRNA from 1 species
GAUGAACGCUGGCGGCGUGCCUAAUACAUGCAAGUCGAGCGAACAGAUGAGGAGCUUGCUCCUCUGACGUUAGCGGCGGACGGGUGAGUAACACGUGGAUAACCUACCUAUAAGACUGGGAUAACUUCGGGAAACCGGAGCUAAUACCGGAUAAUAUAUUGAACCGCAUGGUUCAAUAGUGAAAGACGGUUUUGCUGUCACUUAUAGAUGGAUCCGCGCCGCAUUAGCUAGUUGGUAAGGUAACGGCUUACCAAGGCAACGAUGCGUAGCCGACCUGAGAGGGUGAUCGGACACACUGGAACUGGGACACGGUCCAGACUCCUACGGGAGGCAGCAGUAGGGAAUCUUCCGCAAUGGGCGAAGGCCUGACGGAGCAACGCCGCGUGAGUGAUGAAGCUCUUCGGAUCGUAAAACUCUGUUAUUAGGGAAGAACAAAUGUGUAAGUAACUAUGCACGUCUUGACGGUACCUAAUCAGAAAGCCACGGCUAACUACGUG